rnacentral:lncRNA from 1 species
ACAUACAAAAAACCAUCAAUAAAAAAAUAUAAUUCUCCAUCUACAACAAGAAAAAUGAAAAAUUAUAAACAUAUAAAUUUAAAUUAAAAAAUACUAACAUUGGAAAAAUAAGAAGUUAAUGUAAAAGAAAAAAACCGACAAAUAAUAUUAUAAAUAAAAUAAAUUUAUAAGACACAAUCCGCGCGAAGCGCGGAAAAAAAUCUCUAGUAGUUUUAUAAAACUAUAUGGAAUACCACGC